rnacentral:pre_miRNA from 1 species
UUGAGCAAGAUGGAGAAGCAGGGCACGUGCAUUACUAGCUCAUCUCGCUUGCAUAUAUAUAUAUAUAUACACGACUCUCAGCAAAUGUAUGCAUAUAUUAAUAUAUAUAUAUAGGGGAAUUUUGGUGACGAUCGAUGAAUGAGUUAGUUCUUCAUGUGCCCAUCUUCCCCAUCAUGACCAC